rnacentral:tRNA from 1 species
CACCGUUCUGGGCGGCGACGGCGACGACACCGUCUAUCGCGAGGGCGGCGACGGCCUCGGCGGCGCCUGGAUCGACGCCGGCAAUGGCGAC